rnacentral:sRNA from 1 species
GUGUGUGUGUGUGUGUGUUGUGUAUUAAACUAAGAACUUUUUCUCGAGUUCUCUGUGCUUUUGCUCUCUGGAUAAGACAAAUUAUCCCACUCUCCUUGGGGGCACCCUCUGACUUUAAUAUACCUUCGCCUGGGGUCUGCAGAGGUGAGGCCAUUAGGGUGGUGUAAUCAGAGGUGGCUUAUCUACAAACAGUCCCAGUGUUCUGCACAUGAAAGGCAACAAGUGCCCUUUAAAGGACAGGGCAGCCCAGAGCAAACCGCCCAGACCUCCAACAACAGGCAGAUUUCCAACCCCAGCUGCCAUCGUGGUGUGAGGAGGGGUACACAGAAGUCGGUUCUUCACAGUAGCCUACGCACACCCAGGGUGCGGAAUUAGAAAAGACCAACUUCACCAGGAGGCUUUGGAGCAAGCGCCCUGGGUGUGGAUGCUCUUGAAAGCUCUUGCCUGCCUGUGGAGAAAAAGACAUCCCCUGGGCGAACUUCUAGGCUCCCCUUUCCUAAAAAUCCGAGUCAAAGCUCAAUCGUCGUGUCUGGUGUCCACCCCCCUCCCCCAGCGCUCUUCUCCCAGGAAAGCGCCUCACACUGGGCGCCCGGGCAGCAGGAACGAGAGCAGGAAGGAUUCAGAGAACCACAAAGAGAAAGGAAGGGAAGAAGGGAAAUGUGUAGGCGAGAGGCUGACAACUGUUAGCCCGGUGUUCAUCUGAGCCAUGUGUGGAGCAGGACGGCAGCACCGUUGGCUUGAGCACAGACUAUCGAGGCGUAGAAGGACACUGCAGGGUGCAAACAAAAAGACUACAUUAGAAGCCACAGAAAUCAGAAGUCACAGAAGUCGUGAGACAGGGCAGGAUUCCGGGAGGAUCUGGAGCUGGACCAAGGAUAUUUGUAAGAAGAGGUGAGGAUGAUCGUCUUCAUCCAUGGAGAUGGAACGUAUUCAGGAAGGCAAGUUCAAUCAAGACCCAGUUUUAUGUAUGUAUGUAUGUAUGUAUGUAUGUAUGUAUGUAUGUAUGUAAGUAAGUUUAAAAUACCAAUAAGAUAUAUGAGUAGCAUCUAGCUGGCAGCUGAAUGUCCAAGGAGACCAUAGAGGAAUUACUCUCUAGAGAACAUUUUGGAGUGUGUGCUUGGUUUCAUCUGUGCAAUUUAAAGCUGUGAAAAUGAGUUUUCUACGGAGAGUGUAACACUGUGAGGUAGGGAGAGACUCAAAGGCAGCCUGGGCUCCACACCAUGGAGGCGAAGAAUAAAGAGGAGUGGAGGGAAACAUGCCCUUCAUGAGGAGCAGCUACUGAAGUAGAAGAGGAUCCGCAGGCAGCAGUUUCUCAGAAAACACAGCGAGAAUACAUUUCAAGAAAGAAGUGACCGCUACAGCCGGUGCUGCCAAGAGACUGGUGGGAAUUCUAAAUUGACCUUGGAAAAGGCAAGAAGAAGGUCUUGUUGGCUUUGACAAGAAUGAGCCAGUUAGACUGUUAGGGAAAUAGGCAGAAGGACAUCGGAUGGGUGGUGAAUAAGUCUGGGUGGAGGGUUGACACUGGUCUUUGGAACAGAAAGUGGGGUAGGUGUGUGUCUGUCUGUAUGGGAGUGUUCCAGAGUGAAGAUCCAAGCUAAAUAUUCAGAGAAGACCAUAACUGUUUUAGGGCUUUCUGGAAAGAGCUUCACAAUACAUAUUAUUCCUACCCAGGAGCAGGUGGACAGGAAGUCUUGAGGGCAGCCUGGCCAUAGAGAUGCACACCCAGCAGUGUUUGUAGAAUUUGUAGCACAGAAAGAGGAGGAUGCCAUCUGGUUGCUUCUGUUUUCACAGUGAGAUAGGAAGAAAAAUCCUAGCUACAAUAAGAAGCUACCAUGGAGAUAGAUGGGUUUAGGAGACUGAGUCAGGAGGACCAUGGAGUUUAAGGCCAGCCUGAGCUACACAGAGAGCCUCUGUCUGAAAUACCAGGAGAGUAAGAAAGAAAGAGAAAAAAGGAGGGAAAGGAGGUUUAAGGAUGGGUUGAUAGAAGAUUGGAAAGAAAAAGGAAGUAAUUGUCUCUAGCUAGACCUCAAGAGAGUGGGAGAAUAAUUGGCCUUGGAGGGUCUGAGCGAAGACUGCCAGGCAGGCCCAGGGCUCAUUUGGGAGAGGGCAGUACUGUACAAACAUCACCUAUGCAGUUGACCGCUCUCUCUGUUGUGUACUGCAGUGGUUGUCAACUAGGGGAGAUUUUGCCCCCACCAGGGCAUCUGACAAUGCCUGAGGACUUCUAUGGUUGCCAGGCAAUUGUGACUAAGGAGUGCGGUACUGUGGGGUGGAGAUCUAUAUAGCCAUCUUUAGCAGCCAUGACACAGUACUGGGUUUGUGUGUUUACUGCCAGUGGGGAAGUCACUGGGAGAUGUUGAACGAGGAAGAGAGAGUGAAGUAGGCACAUUCUCCACAGCUGAGAGCAAAUCACUUUUGUUCAACAAUGUCAGAGCAACAGGAAUUAGUCAGGUCUUAAGACUAGGUCAAAAUUCAAAUGUGCUGAAGGAAAAAAGCAGCUCAACCUUGUCAUUAAGAAUAAUUACACAGAAGGAGGGCUCUGGGUCCUCUUUUCACUUUUGGAGAACAGGACUCACUGAUGUCUUCAUACUGAAACUCACUCCAUAGCUGAGAGAGGCCUUAAAUUUGUGAUCCUCCUGCCUCAGACGCAGGUUCUGGUAUAGCUGGAAUCAUGUUUGGUGGACAACGCCCAUAGAUAGUUUUCUUCUUGUUGUGGUUAAGCAAGACCUUAUUCUAGAAUUUAAUCGUAGGUGAGAUGAAAAAGGACCGAUUUAUAAAUCCUGGAUGGGGACAGUACUGGAGAGAGAAUGGUUUAUAUCCUGUGCUUAGACACUCAAGUGGGGCGAUAUGCAGUGUCCAAAAAUAAUCACUGGCUUCCUGUGCUUGGACUCUGUCCCUAGCUGGUGGCGCUGUUUGGUGGAGGUUGUAGAGCCUUCAAAAGUGGAGCCUGACUGGAGGGAGUAUAUCCCUGGGGGUGGGUCUUGCAGCCUUAUAGCCUGGUCCUACUUCCUGUUCACUCUGCUUCCUGAACUCAGACAACUGUCCUUUUGCCUCUGUUGCUGCCUUCCCUGCUUACUGCCACAUAUUUCCUUCCCUCCCCUCCUCCGC